GGACGCGUAGCCUAACGGUAAGGCACUCACACCAAGGCGCCGACAACAGCGGAACCGCGGGCAGCGCACCAUUACGUGGCUGGCACAAACCGCAAACUCGCUGGGCUGCUGUGAAGUGAGAGAUCCGAGUUCGAGUCUCAGCGUGUCCA